rnacentral:lncRNA from 1 species
AUGAAACCUAUGCCGUUUAAGAAAAGUGAGUAUCAAUUAGCUGAGCUUUGUAAAGUAAGAAUGAACAAGUUCCAAAAUAUUUAGAUCCAAAAGAUCUUCCUAUGGAGCUUGGUUGUGAAAAUGCUAACUGAGAUUUCUCCAGCAUGCACCCAUUGUUGCAAAAGCUUUCCCUGCGAUUUUAUACAAACAAACAAACAAAAUGUCACCAUAAUGUAUGAAUGUUUGUUCACCAUGACAAUUGUUUUAGGUAGUUUGCUAGAGUUGUUAACCUCGUGGUAUCGAGUAACCAUGUGGCUAUGCCUUUUCUUCUAUUAGAAGAACAAUGUUUCCAAACUGAAUGGAGGUUGAAGGCGAGGAUGAGCUCUCUUUUUGUAACUGUCUUUCAUCAUCAGGAGAAGCUAUGAGCUUAAAUGCUUCCUUAAUUGGUUCAGCAACUAGACAUCCAGAGAUCCUCUGAGAGGAUAUGAAUAGAUAAACCUACACAUAACAAGAUAGUUUCUAAAACAACUGAGGAAAGUAAUUAGGGGUUAUAUCAUCUUUCUUGUGAAUUUAUUGAAAUGAGGUCAUCUAAAGAUAUC